rnacentral:sRNA from 1 species
CAUGCACAUACACAUAUACGCAUACACGUGUGAGCUCACACACUUCAGACACUUGCUCUAUCUACCAGCCCUCCAAAGAGCAUAGCCCAUAGCCUCUUAAUAAUAAUGGCUUUUGUCAUUUCAAGAGAUUUGCUUCUGAGAAACAGCAUCGCUCCAACUGCCCCCUGGUGAGCAAUCCAGGAGUGAUAGCAUAUUCUCUGUGUUGUUGGGAUAUAAUUUUUAAAUAAGAAACUGCCACCAAGUGUAACUGUAAUUUUUCUAAGCUCUAAGUUGAAGUUUGAGGAGCCCAGCCUGACUCUCCCAUCUGGUUAAUUACUAUAAUUAAACUUUACAAGCGUUUUUUUUUUUUAAGUAUGCAAAAACCAUGCACACACACACACAAUUCUUUUUAAAAGAGGUUGUCCACAGUUCGGAAAAACACUGCACGGCUCCCCAGGAGUGCUUUUCCUGGAAAUAAUAUCUUUUUGACAUUAUUCCCAAGACAGUGUGAGAAGGUGUUGCCUAAACCUGUGGAAAAGUCCGUGCGUGAAUUUCCAAGGCAAGGCUGCUUGCUAAGAGAAAAAAUGCUAAAGAAGAGAGGUGCCACUGCUCUGAUUGGAAAUCCACCUGAGUUUUUACCCUCGUGCGACCUCCAGCUGCCCCCACUCAGCACCUAUGGUGCGGGGAAGGCGACCGGUGCAAGCCACUGCCUAUAUGAUUUGCAACUGGGCAGGUGAACUCUUCCCUGCAGCUGGAUGAAUAAUGAAUGGAGCCGGGAAUGGAAACAGAGAGAGAGCCCAACAGUGGAUGAAGUCGUCCCUCUCCCACCACGCCACUCCCUUCCCCCUCUGCAAGUGCUAACCCAGCCACUGUCCCCGCGGCUCUGAGCAGGCUCUUGAAGAAGUGGGUUGGAGCCCCCCCAACCCCCCAAAGAAACCCCAGGGAUAAGAGAAGCUCACACACUGUCGUUGACCACUUCUUCUUCCUUGAGAAGCAGGCAGCCUCGUGCUCUCGGUGCCGAUUAAGAUUUAUUUCAUAGCAACUGAAACCUCACCAUCCAGAGCACUCUAACCUACUACUUAUAAAAUCUUAAGUGGUCUUUAAGAGGGGAGACUUAUUGGAGCGAGGAAAGCAAAACAGAACAGCGGAGCUUAGGUGAGGAUUGAGAGCAACUGCUCGCUUCUCACUUAGCUUCCGAGUAGCUGCUUUUCCUUGAGGAGAAGGGUAGAAGUGGAAGGAAGAUUCAUCCAGGUUCAGAAA